CUGUCAGCCGGAGCCAUUGCUGGAAUUGUGAUUGCAUGUUUAGUAGUUUUGGUUGCAGUUGUUGCUGGUGUAAUCUAUUUUCUUUACAGAAGAAAAAAAACAGUCAGACCCAAACCUCAAAAAGGUAAGUAUGGAUAUACUUUGUCUAUAAUAUCACACAACUUUUU